rnacentral:rRNA from 1 species
UAGGGAAUCUUCGGCAAUGGACGAAAGUCUGACCGAGCAACGCCGCGUGAGUGAAGAAGGUUUUCGGAUCGUAAAACUCUGUUGUUAGAGAAGAACAAGGACGUUAGUAACUGAACGUCCCCUGACGGUAUCUAACCAGAAAGCCACGGCUAACUACGUGCCAGCAGCCGCGGUAAUACGUAGGUGGCAAGCUUUGUCCGGAUUUAUUGGGCGUAAAGCGAGCGCAGGCGGUUUCUUAAGUCUGAUGUGAAAGCCCCCGGCUCAACCGGGGAGGGUCAUUGGAAACUGGGAGACUUGAGUGCAGAAGAGGAGAGUGGAAUUCCAUGUGUAGCGGUGAAAGGCGUAGAUAUAUGGAGGAACACCAGUGGCGAAGGCGGCUCUCUGGUCUGUAACUGACGCUGAGGCUCGAAAGCGUGGGGAGCAAACAGG